UGUGACAUCCCCGGGGUCAGGGCUGUGACAUCCCCGGGGACAGGGCUGGGUGCUGCCGUGCAGCCACGGCCACUGGUGCUGAUUUAUCGCUGACCCACCCGCAAGGCAUCAGCUGUGUCUGCCUGCGUUUAAUCUCCACUUCGGUGUCGAGGGAGAGCCCGAUGUAAAAGACAAACGGCAACAUAUAAAAAAUGACCCGAGUCCCUUAAUUUGAACCAGAGGAGACAAUAACAGUCUGGAGACAGAGCUGGAUUUAUCUUCUCUCUGCGAUGGAGGCCCCUCCUCCGAUGGCUGUGGGAUGGAGCGAGCAGCAUCUGAAGCAAAUUGAGGACCCACCUGGGAGCCUGCUUGCCAGAAGGAGAAAUGGCACAAGAGGAAAUACAUCUUCACAGCCUCGAGAGAGGAGAAGGUUGGAAUCCGAGUCCAUAAACAGCGUUGCUGUGCAGUGAGCAAAGACAGAGCAGGUUGGGCUCUGGAGAGUGUAACCCCACCUCUGCUGCUCCACUGCCAAUUAAAAAUAAAGAAGUGGAACUUG